CAGGGGAAGUGAUCCUGGAGGGUCUAACCCAGACUGCAGGCCCCAAGCCCCAAGCCCCAGCCUUCCGCUCCCAGGCUGGCUCCAGGAUGUGGAUGGAGGGCUGGGCCCAUGCCACAGGCCCACGGAGCCCUUGGAGCCGGCUGUUCUGUGCCUGAGGACAGAGCAGAUCUGAGGAGCCACGCAAAGACACAAACAGAAGGAAGCCACGCAACGUGUGGACACGGUGCCGCAUCCGUGGACACAGGCGAGCUGACCAGCACCCCCAGACUCGCGUGGGUCCGCUCCGGCCCCGCAACGACCCCUCAAGAGCACUGACACACACACACUGAUACACACGUUCCCACUGACACGCGCAGCAGCACUCCUGAGCCAGCUGCCCUCACGCUGUCCCCAGAGCCCCUUACCUGGGCAAGCACAA